ensembl:lncRNA
GAGAGAGAGAGAGAGGUAAAGAAAGAGUGGGCUGCAAGUGAAAUAGCCCACCGUCAUCCUGGUCGCUGAGCUCACCGCGCGCGCACGCUCCGGAGGCUACUGCGGUAAAGAUGCGGCGACGCACGAUGCUUCGCCGUGAUGGAUAAUCGUAAUCGCAAUGGCUUUACGAAGAGGUUGUUGGCGGCCGUGUGACUCAGAGCUCUGCCUCCUCGCUCUGACAGGAGCCAACGCUGCCCCCUUCCCCCCGCCACCCUCCCAGCCCGGCGAUCGCACAGCGCUGUCAGCAGGGGAACUGUGGAGCUCUACGGGAGAUGAAGCAGGCCCCCGCGGCCCUCGUCUUCCUCGUCUUCCUCGUCAGUGUUUACAGUUCCUGUUUACAGUCCUGACCCACGGGCGUUUUUCCCCCUCCUCUUCAGGAGCGGCGCGGCUCGCCGGUGUCUCGGAGGAACGAGGUCCGCCCAUCACGUCUUUCUCUCCAGGAGAAGGACUGGAUCCUUUUUAAUUCGUCCUUUUUGCAGAACUUGAGACAUAACGCGAGAGAAGCGUAGUCCCAGCCUUUUUAUCAUCCAAUCAAGUUCGACAUGCUUCCGAGUGGAAUGAAACACUGAUAGGACGACACUGGUAAAGUAGAGCAGUUCUCCCUUGAGCCUUUGAAACCGAGAUAUUUUCACUUUUUCUGCAGUCAGACUGAUCACAUGCUCUUUGAAAUCCUAAUAUACGCGUUCUAAAUAAGAGACACGCAAAACCCAGUCGCUGAACUUUACAUGAGACCUGAAUCGAGCGCGAUGCUCCAGCAAAACAACAACAACAACUACCCAUGCCUCAACAUGACCGGCCCCACAGGUGGAGAGGGCAUCCAGGCAUGCCCCCGGGCCCAUGGGCCCUUCCCCAGCCGCAUGGAGCUCAGUCUGGGGGACCUUCCGCUGGUCAGGGGCCUCCGGGCCUGGGCCCUCUGCUCCAAGAACCGCCUGAAGACCAGGGGAGAGCUGGGGGGUGGAGGGCAUGCUCCAACCAUUGGACCCUCCACCACCAGCACCACCCAUGAGAGGCAGAGCUCCUGCCCCAGGCCUGCGGACAUGUACCCGGCCGGGGAGCUGGGCGGCAUGGGCUACGGGCUUCCGGUGGGGCUGGACGCCAGGCAGGCCGGAAUAGGUGCCCUGGUCACCGUAGCAACGCUGAAGACCUCUGAGGUGGGGGGGAAGACGCAGACCCAGACCCAGUGCCUGUUCCUCCGGACUGAGAAGGGAAGCUGCCUCUACUCCACGACCAAGCCCGGAGGCUGGUCCCUGGGGAAGGGCCCGGGCCUGUCUGCCGGCGGGGCCUCUGCCCUGGUCGGGAGCUGGCUCAGAGGGAAGGUCAGUGGAGGAGGAGGCGGAGGAGGCGGAGAGCACCAGGCGGGGAAGAGAACCAGCGGGCCUCCUCUUCCUCCCCCUCCGGCGGCUCUACAGAGCGGCGGGUCCAACCGGGUCCGGGUGCGUUCGGGCCGGCGCUGGAGGAAGUCCUGCAACGCCAACGGCCCGGGAUCGAACAAAACCACCGGCAUCGGCGGCCAGAGGAGAGGCCGGGAGGAGGCUGGUGGCACGGAAAUCAUCCUGGGAGAAUGCCAGGAAGGGGGAGACAAAGGCGAGUUCCACAACAACCUCCAGGGCGCUCAGGAGGCCGGAGGGGGAGGCCGUAAACAGGAGGGCGGUGCAGGAUGCACAAGGAGCUGCCGAUGCUGUCACAACACUCUGGCCAGGAACUGCGCUCGAUGUGCGAGGCGAGCUGUGCGGUCGGGCGCGAGGCAGAGGCUGGAGGAACACAAGACCCAGGCGGGAGACGAGCGUGGCAUGAACGGGCUGGGGAACAAGGACGGAGGGAAGACAAAUGGAGGACAAGAAAAGGGAGAGCAGGAGAAGGAGAGGGAGGAGGAGGAGAAGAGCAGGUCAAAGCCUCUUGACUCCAUUGUGUCGCUGCCAAACGCUGACUCGCCGACAAAUUGCUUUUACCCAGAAUCCUCCAGCAACAGCGAGGCGUCUGAAAAAAGCUGUGACAAGGACAUUAGGGAAGUAAAUGAACCCCUACAGACAAAAAUGUGCACUUAUUCAGAGAACAAAGAACAGCCCUGCUCCCAAAACAGCAGGAACGAAGACUUUGGCCGGACUCUGAGAAACCCAAGUGGUGAGGAGCUCAACAAUGGCGAGUUGGACACUCCUCUGACUGAUGAUGUUAGACCACACAGUGAGUACCUGGACGAUAGCCUGCCUCUACCAAAUGGCACCUCAUCUCCACCCCUGGUAGUCCGGAACCCUGUGCAGAAACACUGUGAAGACGUGGGGCGUAAUGUAGGUGAGAUCCCAGCGGUAGCAGACACAGAACCAACUCAGGACUCCAAGAGUCCCUGUGACGACCCGCAAGAGGACAGAGGAAACCGUUUGUGGUCCGACGAAUGCGCCGCGGAAACAGCCCCCUGCUGUGAAGAGGGCCUACACCGUCUUACCUCAGCCACACCUGUAGAGGGCAGCACCUUCCCUGCUGAACUAAGCCUCGACACCAUGCAGGGGCAGCGAGGGAGCAGCACUGCAGACAGGGAACACAACAACAGCCAUACAGAGAGCGCUGACGGGGGCAGUGCAGAGAAGGGGGACCGGGACCAUAGUAAAGGUCGUCCACUUGAGUUGUGUGUCAAAUCAGACCAGCUCAUGCCACGAGAAUCCUCUCCUGGGGAUUUAUACACAAAAGAGCCUUUUCAUGAGGAGAAGCCUCUGAAAGACACGGGCGAUGUAAACUGUAAUGAACCCGAGGUGGUGUUAUCAGAGGAGCAGAGGGGCUCCUGUCAUCAGGCAACGCUGAGUUGUAGAAAUGAGGGGAAGGCCGGUAAAGACGAGGCGAACGCCGCUGACUCUGCCCCAGGGCUCAGAGAGGUAGACGGCCUCCAGGGAGGAUCCAUCCCAGAAGCAGUCAGGGGGACGUUGAUGAAGGUCGCAGAGGGGGAGGAAGAUAAGAGGCUAGGAGAUGAAGAGGAUUGCAGCGGGGUUGAGUUUGAGGAGGGGAGGGGAGAGGAGCUGGCAGGGGAACACAGACGAGCCGAGUCAGGUUUGGAGAGUUCUGUUGACGGCAGCGAGACAGUGCCAGGGCUUAGAGGGGAUGACGGCAGCCAGGAGAUUACUGGAGAAGAGGAGAAGAAGGAGAAUAAUAAGCACGACCAAAGCCUUCAAGAUGGCAGUGCCGGGACGACGGAUGAUGAAAAACACGGCAACUCAGAGGGGAAGUUAGGCCAGGGCGAGGCCGAAUACAUCAGACUGCAGCAGCCGCAACGGGAGAGGGAAAGGGGAGACGCGCUGAAGGCUUCAGGUUUCACUGCAGAGGGACCGACACUCCAGGAAUUUGCCACUGAAUGGACACAAGAGGCAAGCUGUGCACCCUCCCUGUCCCCACGUCUCCUGAAGGAGGAGGAGGAGGAGGAGGGGGAGGAGGGGGAGGCGGCGAGGUGGAG